UAAGUAACACGUGGGGAAUCUGCCUAUAAGUGGGGGAUAACAUUCGGAAACGGAUGCUAAUACCGCAUAUAUUCAAAAACCGCAUGGUUUCUGAAAGAAAGACGGCUUUACUGUCGCUUAUAGAUGAUCCCGCGGCGUAUUAGUUAGUUGGUGGGGUAAUGGCCUACCAAGACCAUGAUACGUAGCCGACCUGAGAGGGUGAUCGGCCACACUGGGACUGAGACACGGCCCAGACUCCUACGGGAGGCAGCAGUAGGGAAUCUUCCACAAUGGGUGCAAACCUGAUGGAGCAAUGCCGCGUGAAUGAAGAAGGUCUUCGGAUCGUAAAGUUCUGUUAUUAGAGAAGAACAAGUCAAGGAGUAACUGUCUUGACUUUGACGGUACCUAACCAGAAAGUCACGGCUAACUACGUGCCAGCAGCCGCGGUAAUACGUAGGUGACAAGCGUUGUCCGGAAUUAUUGGGCGUAAAGGGAGCGCAGGCGGUUGGAAUAGUCUGAUGUGAA
rnacentral:rRNA from 1 species